rnacentral:tRNA from 1 species
UGGCUCAGUUGGUGGAGCAUGUGACUCUUGAUCUCAGGGUUGUGAGUUCAAGCCUCAC